rnacentral:tRNA from 1 species
GGCCUUAUAGUCUAAAUUAAGAUCCUAGACUGCAAUUCUAGAGAUGUGGCAACACUAAGGCUU